GGUUGCCAGCUCAGUGGUAGAGUGUGUGCUCUGUAUGUAUGAUGUCCUGGGUUCAAUCCCCAGCUGCUCCCC
rnacentral:tRNA from 1 species